CCCGGGGGCCCGCCCCGGGCGGGGCGGGGGCACGGGGGGAACGCGAAGAACCUUACCAGGUCUUGACAUCUUUUGAUCACCUGAGAGAUCAGGUUUCCCCUUCGGGGGCAAAAUGACAGGUGGUGCAUGGUUGUCGUCAGCUCGUGUCGUGAGAUGUUGGGUUAAGUCCCGCAACGAGCGCAACCCUUAUGACUAGUUGCCAGCAUUUAGUUGGGCACUCUAGUAAGACUGCCGGUGACAAACCGGAGGAAGGUGGGGAUGACGUCAAAUCAUCAUGCCCCUUAUGACCUGGGCUACACACGUGCUACAAUGGAUGGUACAACGAGUUGCGAGACCGCGAGGUCAAGCUAAUCUCUUAAAGCCAUUCUCAGUUCGGACUGUAGGCUGCAACUCGCCUACACGAAGUCGGAAUCGCUAGUAAUCGCGGAUCAGC
rnacentral:rRNA from 1 species